rnacentral:rRNA from 2 species
UGGGGAAUAUUGGGCAAUGGGGGAAACCCUGACCCAGCAACGCCGCGUGAAGGAAGAAGGUUUUCGGAUUGUAAACUUCUGUCGCAGGGGACGAAAAAAAUGACGGUACCCUGUGAGGAAGCCCCGGCUAACUACGUGCCAGCAGCCGCGGUAAUACGUAGGGGGCGAGCGUUGUCCGGAAUUACUGGGCGUAAAGGGUGCGUAGGCGGCCAGACAAGUCAGAUGUGAAAUACCCGGGCUUAACUCGGGGGGUGCAUUUGAAACUGUAUGGCUUGAGUGUAGGAGAGGAAAGCGGAAUUCCUAGUGUAGCGGUGAAAUGCAUAGAUAUUAGGAGGAACACCAGUGGCGAAGGCGGCUUUCUGGACUACAACUGACGCUGAUGCACGAAAGCGUGGGGAGCAAACAGG